GACGAACGCUGGCGGCGCGCUUAACACAUGCAAGUCGAGCGAGAACCAGUCCUUGGGACUGGGACGAGCGGCGAACGGGUGAGUAACACGUGGGUAAUCUGCCCUCGAUUCUGGGAUAGCCCGGGGAAACCCGGGAUUAAUACCGGAUAGCCUCUCGAGCUUUCGUAGCUUGUGAGAAAAGGUAGCUUCGGCCUCCGAUCGAGGGAUGAGCCCGCGGCGGAUUAGCUUGUUGGUGGGGGUAAUGGCCACCAAGGCGACGAUCCGUAGCUGGUCUGAGAGGACGAUCAGCCACACUGGGACU
rnacentral:rRNA from 1 species